rnacentral:rRNA from 1 species
GACAGAGGUGCCGAGCGUUAGGCGGAAUCACUGGGCUUAAAGCGCGUGUAGGCGGGUCGUUAAGUGCCUCGUGAAAUCCCACGGCUCAACCGUGGAACCGCGGGGCAUACUGGCGAUCUUGAGAGACCCAGGGGCGAGCGGAACAAGUGGUGGAGCGGUGAAAUGCGUAGAUAUCUGGAGGAAUACCGGUGGCGAAGGCGGCAUCCUGGACCGGCAUUGACGCUGAUGAGCGAAAGCUAGGGGAGCAAACGGG